rnacentral:rRNA from 1 species
UACGGGAGGCAGCAGUAGGGAAUCUUCCGCAAUGGACGAAAGUCUGACGGAGCAACGCCGCGUGAACGAUGAAGGCUUUCGGGUCGUAAAGUUCUGUUGUUAGGGAAGAACAAGUACCAGAGUAACUGCUGGUACCUUGACGGUACCUAACCAGAAAGCCACGGCUAACUACGUGCCAGCAGCCGCGGUAAUACGUAGGUGGCAAGCGUUGUCCGGAAUUAUUGGGCGUAAAGCGCGCGCAGGUGGUCCUUUAAGUCUGAUGUGAAAGCCCACGGCUCAACCGUGAGGGUCAUUGGAAACUGGGGACUUGAGUGCAGAAGAGGAAAGUGGAAUUCCACGUGUAGCGGUGAAAUGCGUAGAGAUGUGGAGGAACACCAGUGGCGAAGGCGACUUUUCUGGUCUGUAACUGACACUGAGGCGCGAAAGCGUGGGGAGCGAACAGGGAUUAGAUACC